UUACGGCUAUAUCACGUUCAAACACCGUUUCUCGUACGAUCUCUGAAAUAAAGCCCCGUCGAGCCUGGUCAAUACCUAGAUGGGUGACUGCUAGAGAAUACCAGGAGCUGUAAG